UACGUAGGGUGCGAGCGUUGUCCGGAAUUAUUGGGCGUAAAGAGCUUGUAGGUGGCUCGUUGCGUCGGGGGUGAAAACCUGCGGCUUAACCGCAGGCCUGCUUCCGAUACGGGCGAGCUAGAGUUCGGCAGGGGAGACUGGAAUUCCUGGUGUAGCGGUGGAAUGCGCAGAUAUCAGGAGGAACACCGGUGGCGAAGGCGGGUCUCUGGGCCGAUACUGACACUGAGAAGCGAAAGCGUGGGGAGCGAACAGG
rnacentral:rRNA from 1 species